UCGGCUUCCAAAUGACUCCAAAACUGCUGAGGGGAGGAGACAGGAGACCCUACAGUGAUAAUUCUGCUACCCAAGGAGGUGUGGAGCGAGACCAAGCAACUUAUCAGGUCACACAGCAAAGUCACUGGCAGUGAAGCAAGGAUGCCCCUUUCUGCCUGACCCUCCUGGCUUCCUGUUUCAACAUCUUUGGAGCUUGUGGAGACGAGCACUUGCCUAAAAAGUCAACAUGGGAAGGCCAAUAGAGAGUCUACCCAGGAACCUGCAGACAUCUGGGGCAAACACUCUAUCCCUGGUGGUAGCAGUGUGAUCACCUUCUGGUCGUCAUACUGGUGAGGAAGUUAAGGAGCUAUUCUGACUGCAUUUCACAGCAGCAGCUGGUCCCACACAGGAGGCACAGCCCUCCUUCCCUGGAGAAUGCCAGCUAAUGAUGCAGAAGGAGUCGGAUUAAGAAACCAGCAUUCAACUGCCCAGCAG
ensembl:lncRNA